AACGAACGCUGGCGGCAUGCCUAACACAUGCAAGUCGAACGAGACCUUCGGGUCUAGUGGCGCACGGGUGCGUAACGCGUGGGAACCUGCCCUUAGGUUCGGAAUAACUCCCCGAAAGGGGUGCUAAUACCGGAUAAUGUCUUCGGACCAAAGAUUUAUCGCCUUUGGAUGGGCCCGCGUUGGAUUAGCUAGUUGGUAGGGUAAAAGCCUACCAAGGCGACGAUCCAUAGCUGGUCUGAGAGGAUGAUCAGCCACACUGGGACUGAGACACGGCCCAGACUCCUACGGGGGGCAGCAGUGGGGAAAUUGGGACAAGGGGCGAAAGCCUGAUCCAGCAAUGCCGGGUGGGUGAUGAAGGCCUUAGGGUUGUAAAGCUCUUUUACCCGGGAUGAUAAUGACAGUACCGGGAGAAUAAGCCCCGGCUAACUCCGU
rnacentral:rRNA from 1 species